AUACGGAGGGUGCAAGCGUUACUCGGAAUCACUGGGCGUAAAGCGCGCGCAGGCGGCUAUUUAAGUUGGAUGUGAAAGCCUACGGCUCAACCGUAGAACUGCAUCCAAAACUAUUUAGCUAGAGUGUGGGAGAGGAAGAUGGAAUUAGUUGUGUAGGGGUAAAAUCCGUAGAGAUAACUAGGAAUACCAAAAGCGAAGGCGAUCUUCUGGAACAGUACUGACGCUGAGGCGCGAAAGCGUGGGGAGCAAACAGGAUUAGAAACCCCAGUAGUCC
rnacentral:rRNA from 1 species